UACGUAGGGGGCCAGCGUUGUUCGGAAUUACUGGGUGUAAAGGGUUCGUAGGCGGUGCGGCAAGUUGGGCGUGAAAUCUCUGGGCUCAACCCAGAGACGGCUUCCAAAACUGCUGUGCUUGAGUGUGAGAGAGGCUCGUGGAAUUGCAGGUGUAGCGGUGAAAUGCGUAGAUAUCUGCAGGAACACCCGUGGCGAAAGCGGCGAGCUGGAUCACUACUGACGCUGAAGAACGAAAGCUAGGGGAGCAAACAGG
rnacentral:rRNA from 1 species